GAUAUAGACCCAAAGUGAAAACUAUCAGGUGCAAAAUGAAUGGUUGGGAAAAACCUCCAGUGUGCACUCCGAAGAGAAGAAGUUAACAGCAUAACAUCCCAAGUGAUCAGAGAGAUGUGAGAACACAGAUUCCUGCCUCCUAUCAUCUAAGCUCCAGAUACUACCAGAUGCACUUUGACUUUCCUGUUCUUCAGUCAAGGCUUCUUCUGUUUGCACAAAUGGGUCUUGGGAUUUCCCCUUUAAAAGAAAGAAGCUGAUUUAUGAAAGUGGAAAUAGAAACGGAGCAGUCCAAGCAAUGGAAGAGACCUUUUGAGAUUCUCCAUUAUACUGGCCUAGGCAAGCAUGUGGUAUAUCCUAGCCACAUUUAUACAUGCAUCAGUGAUCUUCAUAGUAGCAAUAUGUAAUCUGAUUUAUUUUUCUAUUCAUUUAAUUCAACGGAAUACACUAUUUUUGUAAUCUGUAAUCCUUUUGUAGAACUGGAGAAUAAUAAUUGAUAAGCAAUGCAUGAACUCAUCAUGAAGUACACUUUGAUAAUCUCCUUUCCAUCUUUGGGCUUGAACAAACCUGAAAGCAACUGUGAAUGUGAAAAUGGUUGAUCACAAAUUAAACUCAUGUAUAAACCCAG